UAAUUAAUUUAUUGGCAGAUAAAUGCAUUAGAAUUAGAAUCUAAUAAAACUUCUA
rnacentral:tRNA from 1 species